UACGAAGGGUGCUAGCGUUGUUCGGAAUUAUUGGGCGUAAAGCGUAUGUAGGCGGUUUGGUAAGUCGAUUGUGAAAUCCCCGAGCUUAACUUGGGAAUUGCGGUCGAAACUGCCUUGCUUGAAUCUGGUGGGGGAUAGUGGAAUUCUUAGUGUAGGGGUGAAAUCCGUAGAUAUUAAGAGGAACACCGGCGGCGAAAGCGACUAUCUACACCAGCAUUGACGCUGAGAUACGAAAGCGUGGGGAGCAAACAGG
rnacentral:rRNA from 1 species